ACGCCAUACACACACAUUACAGAUAUAUACUUGUCUCCCUUCUUCUCCUACCUUUUCCAUUUCCUUAUUCUCGUGAGAGGGAGACAAUUGCAACCCGCAACGCCAGACGCUUCGAUCAAAUUAGUCAAUCAAUGUUCGCCGCCUGAUAACUACGCAUAAAUUGGCUCGCGCGCUAUCUAAAUCAGUGAUUUUCAAAAACUAUAAUAUGUGUUGUGUGUGCAUUGGUGGGCUUCUAUGAGCUGUCGAAGGCGCCUAGCAGCCCUGUGAGAUUUGCUGCUUCACAAGACUGCUGGUACUUCUGGGUCUUUUUAUAGGCGUGCUAUACGGUCUGCACAUAUUAGCACAGGACUACCAAGCGAUCACCAAGCCCAAAGUUCUUCGAUUCCUGUUCAAAAGGGACCUCAAGUACGCUACGAAUUACAACGCUACAGUAAGAUGGAGGAAAAUAUUGCAGUACGAUACAAUGCAAUGCGCGCGUUUGCUCUAUUGUGAUCUGGGAGCACAUUUGCCGGACAAUGAGUUGCGGCGAGGCUUCACCUACAUGCUCGCACUAGCUACCAAAGAAGAGGAUAACGCUGCACUGGAGGAAUUCAAGUCGGCGUACUUUCAUGGCAGAAUGCUUCGCGAUAAUCCAGCACUAUGCAGAGCGAAAUAUCCGUCGUGCCCGUUUAAAGCUGUGCUUUUAUUCGAUUUGCUCCACUAUUUGCUGCAUACCCUUUAAAGAUAACGGACUGUGACACGCGAGUAACACACGGAUUUUCGAGUAACAACGUUUUUUUGUUUGCUUGCUCGGAACAAGCUCCAGCUUGAAACUCUAGCUACAUGGGCUAUACCUACAUAGAAAUUUUAGAAUUUUAACUAUCGUUAGUGUUUGUUAUUCAUGUAAAUGUAUAAGCUUCGGGUACUACUCGUUAUAUCCUUUUUAUUAAGGCUUUAGUCAAGGGAAAAGUUUCUAGUAUCUCGUAAGAUACGUGAACCAAGAGAAAUUAGUCGUCACCCGAAUUUUAAUCGUGAUCAUGGAUGGUUGGUUGAUCGGUGUACAAGAAGACGGGUCCAAUCAGGAUGACAUUCAUGAGCCGUCGCAGAGUGUAACGGAACCUUUCGUUCCCAACCUCACCUCUCCCAAUGCUCGCUGAGAGCGGCGGCGCGCGCUGCGAGCGUUGAGAGAGGAUCAAUUUGGAUCGUGCCGAGUUACAAGAAUCAGUUUAUGACCAACCCCGUAUGGGUUCGAAACUAGUCGGGCAUACUCCGACGUUGUAUCACGUGAGUUUUAGCCGUGUUUCAUAAUCAAUUAAUAUACAUUGAUUAGUUCUAUCUAUCGCUAAGUUAUUGUCCCUAUCCAGUGGUUGAAUGGGUUUAUGCCGACUGCGGCCGGCUAGAAAUUUGUCGCCCUCUCUAUUUUAGUUAUUGCUUUAAUGUUAAAAUGUUUGUUCGACGGUUUGGCUGCUUACAACUUAUCUGUCCUAAUAUUAUAAAGAGGUGAAGUUUGGGGUAUUGUAGUGGGUAGUGCCUGGAUCUACUAAACCGAUUUUUACCACUUGAAUUCCAUGUAAUGUUCCAUGUUCGUGAUAGCUCAGUGGAUAUGACCUCUGCCUUCAAUUCCAGAGGGCGUUGGUUCGAAUCCGGUCCAGGGGCAUGC
rnacentral:misc_RNA from 1 species